GACUGGGGCUUCGAAUGCAUUGAAGCUGCCAAUUGAACUGUUGGAGUUGCUGAAUUCGAAACCAGCAGAAAAAGGAGUUUGAAACAGGGAAAUUCAGGUCCUGGUCGACGACGCACGAAUUACGGUAGAGACCGUUUUAGUUCUAUUUGCACUGAGUCGCGAGAGAUAGUUGUCGACGCAUUCCGAGGCGUGGAUUCUAGUUGUUGACACCACUACAGGUUCCAGCGCGAGCGUAGUAGCUGAGGAUCGCGACAAGAGCCCAGCAUCCUAGCUAGUGCACACCAGAGUUCUAGUAGUUUACCAUUUUGGUUUCAUGUUAUACAUUUUGAUGUACAGAGACAUGUAAAUGAAUGUAUUAAAGAGCAUGUGAAUAAUUAAAUGUCUCAGUUAUGUAAAGUUUUAGAUUACAGUGAAUUUCAUAUUUAGUUA